UUUAAAUAAAUUAUUAGUAUAUAAUAAAUUUUUUAUAAUGCCACUAAAAUAUUGCACAAUACAUUUGGGCACCUUACAGAGUGUAAGGAAAAACUAAUAGAUUUCUUAAUGCAACACGGUAUUUUGGAAAAUACAGUUAAGUGUACUCAAUGUAGUAGUGAUGUAAAUAUCAAUAAAGAAACGCUAAUGUAUCGAUGUCAAAAAUGAUACACUGUUAAGGACAAAUUUAUAUAACGCAUUAGCAAGCCGUGCUAGUGCUGGGUUGUUCGGUACUAGUUGCAGGCUUUUGCUCGGCUUUGGUUGCAGGCUCGCAGGUGGACAUCGGAGGAUACAUCUCAGCGAUGACAUCAAAAAAGGCUUCGACGCGUUCCAGUCUACAGGCGCGUUUGAAAAGAUAUUUGGAUAAAUAUCCCUCAAAAUGUUCAGAUUUUCUUCCAAACUUUGAGAUAUUUCCCCGAAUCUCUCCCCAAACACGCUCUAUAUGCUAGGUAUGAGCACCUGUAAAUAUAAAAAUGUAUUAAAAUAUAAAAUACAAAAAUAUUAAUAUAAUAUACUUAAGCAAAAAUUAACGGUAGAUAUAUUUUAAAUAUUUCUUACCCGUUUGAGGAUCGAUAAAGUUAUACGAGUGGUUUACUGUCAGAUGUUGGAAGCCUUCAUGUUGUAAACAAUCAUAAGACUUCCAACAAUCUGACACGAUGGUGGUUCCUGGUAAAACCCACUCUUUUAUACACUUUAAAAGUGUGUCCGUUGUGCAAUCCUCCACUGGAACGACGAAAAUCUUUUUUGUGUCUCGCUCGUAUCCUCCGAAAAUCCAUUGGCCUUUGACGAGUCAACCACGAUUGUACUUACGCCGGCCAAGUUUUGCCUCGUCGAUUUCUACAAUGCGUCCUGGGCCACCAAGCUUCUCGCUAUGCUUAUCAGCCCAGAACACACAAACCUGUUUCGACACGCCAGUUUCUUCCUGCGAGUCAUCUUGACGUGGAUGUCGCAGCAUUAGAAAACAUGCAACAAUUUUACAGACAGUAACCACGUCAACAUUACUGCGAUCAAACCAACUGCCUGCUUUCCUACUUUUAUUAAAUGUACAGCACUUGCUUAAACGUUUUUUAUGUUUGUCCUUAACAGUGUAUCGUUUUUGACAUCGAUAUAGUAGCGUUUCUUUAUUAAUAUUUACAUCACUGCCACAUUGACUACACUUAACUAUAUUUUUCAAAAUACCGUGUUGGAUUAAAAAAUCUAUUAAUUUUUUCUUACACUCUGUAAGGUGUCCAAAUUGAAACAAUGUUAGUGGCAUCUUAGAUGUGCCAGGCACGUGCAGGCACUAACUACUGUUUAUUGACUGGAUGUUGUAUUUCAUUUGUUUCUACGUUAAAUUUACGUUCAAAUUUCGUGCACAUUUCUACCACAAAGUUACUAAAACGCAUGCGCAUGCGGUCACCAGCAUGCAAACGUGACCACAGCGCAUGCUCAGUUCGCUACAUAACGCCAAGAUGACAGGUAUCUUAACCUGUGCAAUCGCCAACUUUAACGCUUGAUAUCUCGGUUCGCGGGCAAGAGCAACACUUUUUCUUGCCAGAUUCUUUUAUUUUGAUCGAAAACGCGACAAAUGAGUCUAAUUUUGUCAAAAUAGGAGGUGCAGUGGGUAUUCUUAACAAUUACCAAAUAUUAAUAUUAUUUAUUAAUACAUAACAUUACGUGUUCGUGUGUAUACACAUACAUACAUUAAUGUAUUAUAAUAAUAUAUAAAAUUAAAUAGAUUUUACAGGAAAAAGUUGUAAAUUUUAAGUAGAUAGAUCCCAGAAAACACGUAUGUCUGAUAUUGAAGGGAGAGGCUGGUCUGAUUCUCACAAAUGCUUGCUGGAGUAAGUGUUUUAUUCUUAAGUGUGCACGCUUACAUGUCUGAGGCGGAACUGCUUGCUCUUUGUCUUUGAGUAACUACAUACACUCUUGCAUUCUCAAAGGCACUGAGUCUCACGCAGGACUCAUGUAGCGUCAUCCUUCCGAACGGAUCCAAAAUCUAGGGAAUCAUACGCGCACACAACUACCAAAAACGACAUUUGCAUUCAAAUUAUAACAAAGACGUCUAAAAAACGUUUCACUUUCUGACGUCUUUUAGACCUGUCGAAAAGACGUUAUUUUUGUCUUUAGGAUAUGUUAUUGAAUGAUAUUCGUUUUGAUAGCUUUAAAUGAAUUUUUUUUUUUCGUUACAAAAUUCAGCCAUUCGGUGUGUGUAUUUCUUUUCUGUGUGUCUGUGUGUGUAUGUGUGUGUGUGUGUGUGCGCGCGUGUGUGUGUGUUGCCACGCCAUUUCUCGACAGCGUUACAUCGCUGCUCUAAAUGCGCUAAGUCGCGAAGCUUCAAAAUCUACACAAUAUACCGCACGGCUUGAUAGGAUUGUGCUAUCAAAUUUACUUUAAAUAUUAUAAUGCAUAUACUAGGUUAUCUGUUACACAAUUUUAAACUAAGUAAUACUGACCAUGAUAGGCACCUGUCUGUGUUGUUGCUAUAAUGUUACCGAAAACAAAGAGCAUUAGUUUUCAGCAAAUUUAGAACAAGGUGUGUGCCUCAUUUGUCUUUGGUUUAACAUCAUAUGAAUUCAGCACGUUUUGCUGCCAAUAUGCUGCGUAUUUGCUGUCAACGGUUGCUAUAUAUAAAGAGCAACAUGAGAGCAAGUUGCCAACAACAUGUACUGAGUGAUAAAUUUCACCAAAAAUUCAACAACAUGUCGAAAACGGUUAAAUAUAUGUUUUGUACUCUUUUUUUCAAAUAUAU